UUAGCAAUGGCUGUACCGAUCAGUACCGUCUUCUGAGGGCAGUGGGCCUUUUCCAAUUUUACUUUCUCACCUACCCAUCCUGGUGAGUGGCAGGAUUAAAAGCUUAUGCUUCAUGUCUCCUUUCAGUAAUGUUUAGAUUCUGUGCUGCCAGACCUGCUGAGCUUUUCCGGCAAUUUCUAUUUUUGUCUCUAAGGUUUACAAGGCACUUUGUCCUGACAACGAGGCCUCUGCACAAACAAGCUUCCUUCCAGACGCUGGUGUGUAAGCAGACAUUUACCUUCCAAUAAAGCAUAACCUGGAGAAUGAACUGAGGUCACACAAGGCAGGAGAAGCUGCUCGAAAAGAUAGGAGCCCAGGGUGUUCAAGGAAGAACCUCAGCGAGUAACAACAUUCAAGAUGCCUGUGUUUUGAGUGGCUCAGCUGCACCACCUCUAACUGAACUGACCAAGUUCUAAAGUGCGUAGUAACGAGGCUGGUGGGAAAAGAACCAUCAAGAUGGAAAUAUUUACUUGACCUCAUGCUCAUCGAUCAACCUUUUGCAAAUGCGUCUGUCCAUGACAGCAUCGGUAAUUAUGAGCAGCUUUAGGUGCCAUAGCUCAGGAAGGAUGUACUGGCCCUGGAACAGGUCCAGACGAAGUUGAUGAGAAUAAUCCAAGGAAUGAAAGGCUUAACAUAUGAGGAACACAAGGACUCUGGGUCUAUACUCGAUGGAGUUUAGAAGGAUGAGGGGGGAUCUAAUUGAAACUUACAGAAUACUGAAUGGCCUGGACAGAGUGGAUGUUGGGAAGAUGUUUCCAUUGUUAGGAGAGCCUAGGGCCCGAGGGUACAGCCUUAGCGUAAAAGGAAGACCUAUUAGAAUGGAGAUAAGGAGAAACUUCUUCAGCCAGAGAGUGGUGAAUCUAUGGAAUUCACUGCCACAGAAGGAUGUGGAGGCCAGAUCAUUGAGUAUAAUUAAGAUGGAGAUAGAUAGGUUCUUGAUCGUCAAGGGGAUCAAGGGUUAUGGGGAGAAAGUGGGAGAAUAGGUUUAAGAAAUUUACCAGCCAUGAUGGAAUGGCAGGGCAGACUCGAUGGGCUGAAUGGCCUAAUUUCUGCUCCUAUGUCUUCUGGUCUUAUGGAGUGACCGCUGCACAGUCAAAGUCCUGCCUUCACUUUGGGCAAACAUUCCAUCGCACUGUGUGGUAUUAUCACGGUGCUAAAUGGGACAGACUUCGAACAGAUCAAGCAACUGGGCAUUCAUGGGGCACUAAGGGACACCAACAGCAGCAGAAUUGUAUUCAGCCACUAUCUAUAACCUCAUGGUCUGGAAUAUCCUUGCUCUACUGUUACUAUGGGAUCAACCUUGGUUCAAUGAAACAUGCAGGAGGCAUGCCAGGAGCAGCACGGUAUACCCAAAAAUGAGGGAUCUAUCUGGGAAAGCUAAAAUGCUGGAUUACUUUCAUACCAAACAGAGGAAGGAGCAUGCUAUACAUGGGGUGAAGUGAUCCCACAACCAAUCGAUCAGAUGUAAGCUCUGCAGUCCUUCCACAUCCAAACUGUGUACAGUGGUGAACUAUUCAACAACUUGCUACAGCUGGAGGUUCUACAAAUAUCCCCAUCUUCAAUGAUGGAGGUGGGGAGGGGUUUGUUGGGGGGUGGUUAGUUGUGGGGAGUUCAGCAACAGUCCCAAGUAUUUUCAGGCACUUUCAGCUAGAGGUAUUGAGUGGAUGAUCCCCCCCGGCCUCCUCCAGAAGCCCCCAGCGGCCCAUUUCCCAAGGGCCUGUCCACCAGCUAAAAGAGUCAGGAGUAUGUUGACCCCUUGGUCUUGAUGGGUGCACCUCUGAAGCUUGACACAGUCUGGGACAAAGCUGCCCACUAGAUUGGACCUGCAUGCACCGCCUUCAACAUUCACUCCCUUCAUCGCUAACGUACGGUCACAGCAGUGUGUACCAUCUACAUGAAGCAUAGCAGUAACUUACCAAGAAUCUUUUGACAGCAACUUGCGAAGCUGUAUUUCUACCAA